rnacentral:rRNA from 1 species
AGAGUUUGAUCCUGGCUCAGAGCGAACGCUGGCGGCAUGCUUAACACAUGCAAGUCUGACGGGCUUGAGGCUUGCUUCAAGUCAGUGGCGGACGGGUGAGGAGCGCGUAGGAACGUAUCCAUGGGUGGGGGACAACCGCGGGAAACUGCGGCUAAUACCGCACGGGGCCUGAGGGCCAAAGGCUGGGCAACCAGUCGCCUAUGGAGCGGCCUGCGUCCGACUAGCUUGUUGGUGGGGUGAUGGCUUACCAAGGCGGUGAUCGGUAGCUGGUCUGAGAGGAUGAUCAGCCACACUGGGACUGAGACACGGCCCAGACUCCUACGGGAGGCAGCAGUGGGGAGUAUUGGACAAUGGGCGAAAGCCUGAUCCAGCAAUGCCGCGUGGGUGAAGAAGGUCUUCGGAUUGUAAAGCCCUUUCGGCGGGGACGAUGAUGACGGUACCCGCAGAAGAAGCCCCGGCUAACUUCGUGCCAGCAGCCGCGGUAAUACGAAGGGGGCUAGCGUUGCUCGGAAUGACUGGGCGUAAAGGGCGCGUAGGCGGCCGCAUUUGUCAGGCGUGAAAGUCCUGGGCUCAACCCGGGGACGGCGCUCGGGACGGUGUGGCUUGAGUGGGGAAGAGGGUCGUGGAAUUCCCAGUGUAGAGGUGAAAUUCGUAGAUAUUGGGAAGAACACCGGUGGCGAAGGCGGCGACCUGGUCCUUGACUGACGCUGAGGCGCGAGAGCGUGGGGAGCAAACAGGAUUAGAUACCCUGGUAGUCC